rnacentral:tRNA from 1 species
AAAAAAUUAGUUAAUUCAUAACGUUAGGUUGUCAAUCUAAAAUUAUUUUAUUUAAAAUAUUUUUUA